UGGGCUAAAAGAGUCAAUGAGAGUACAGAACAGCAAAGCAAUAAAGGCGUGGGUAAGACAGAAAGGAGCUCACAUUUGGAAGCUGCAGAGUUGGUGAGGACUCCCAGAACUUGACCUCGUGCUUGGUUGUGGAUAUCUGCACCGGCUUCCAACAGUUACUGGAGGAAGGCUCUCUGCUGACAGGGUAUUCAGCAAUCUGAUUAUCCUGGAAGAUACUCUGCAGGCUACCAAAGGAGAAAUGAAAAUACAAACCCAGUCAUAUACCCUUUGAUCUACAGUGGUGUUCUGCAUGAAGGAUAUGCUAGGGCAAUUAUGGCACAAAGAUAAGUUUCAUGGGACAGCAGCAUUUGGAGAACUCUAGAACAGGAUGAAGAAGAGGAGGACAUUUAAAGGCUAGUUCUGGUCUCUAUCAUGAUCAGCAGAUAACUAUAGAAUUAUGUUCUGGGUAUGAAAGUUAAUCAAGAUGCUUACUUAGGAUCUAUGAUUAUUUUUGCCUAUAUAUAAUAUUCCCUAGCAAAUGUUUAAAAUUAAAUUAUUCAUCUGAAAUCACCACCACAGGGCCAGUAUAAAAUGAAUGAGCAAGCUUUUAGUCAACAGUAAAUUAAGUAAUUCACCAGAUGAAUGAUCAGAGUUGAGUGAGGGUAGUCAUAUUCAGAGUCUGAGAGAUGCCACUAUGAUUAGUAAGGCUAAAGUGAGUAGAAAGGGUCCUGAUGUUCAACCUAAAUAAUUGUGGCUCCUCUGCUUUGAACCCUUCUUGCCACCUUCUCUUUGGGGAGUAAGAACAAUGAGGCUGUUCUUUAUUGAGAUGGAACACUAGAACUCAAAACCUAUACAAAGAAGUCAAAAUGCUAACUGAUAGGAGAACAUGAAAAGAAGUAAAAUUUGAUUUUCUGUUUAGUUGUAUUUCUGCUUUAUUUUUAGCUUUUUAAUUGACUACCAUUUCUAGAAAAGUUUUUUGUGCCUAUAAAAAGAGCUGAACAGAAAGUGCAGAGGUCUCAUUCACUCUCUGUGAGCCUCACAAACACUAUAAACAUGAGAGGAUGUUUCUCACAUUAUCAUCUUGGCAUCUGACCCAGUUCCUGGAGGCAAAUCUAAUGAAAGUGUGGGGACUUCUCUGGAGUUGACCCAUAGGAUUUUUUAAUGCACCAAACUACUCCACGUUCAGUCCUUAUCAACUGGUCAAUUUCCCAGUGUUUCCCCAUGAGGGUCACAGCAGCUUCUGACUCCAGAGAACUGUGGAUCCUCUACUCACUAGCUUUUCUAUAAUGAAUCUGAAAAGUUGUUGAUUUUUCAGUCAGCUGUUCAUGUUUUAGAUGUGAGAAGUGAGUGACAAGUUCCAAACACUUUUACAUGCCAAAUUGGAACCUGGAAACAACUGGUUUUUAAAUUAUGCAACCAUACCUUUAUCUUCCCUAAUAAAAACUCUUAAAAAUUAUGUAACCAUGGACACAAUACAAAUAUGCAGAGUUAUAUACAUAUAUAAAUAGGUAUAUGCAAAGAGUUUUUUAAAAACCAGCACCAAUGUGAUAAAAUUUAGGAAUAAGCAAAUUUUAAUAUCUCUCAGCUUUGGAAACCAAAAAUCAAAUGCAUCUUGUAGUAAAGCCCACAUGGCAAAUGUUUCUUUGAAUCUCAUUCUAAAUAUUUAUCCAUGUCUAAAUCUGAUUUAACUCUUUGAGUGACAACUAAAUAUUUUUAUAUAUAAAUAUUAAUAUGGCUAGUUGUAGCCUUUGCUCUUUGAAAUGCUUAGACACUAGCUUCUACGUGCCUCUACAGAUGCUAUACCAUCCCUCUACAGAGACAUAAUCAGAUAUGUCUUGUUUAAAUCAGUUCCCUUAGCCAAUAAUAAAAGUCAGGUGCUUUUUGCCCAAAACCUAUGUCAUUGGUCAGAUUUUUUUUUUUUAUCAUGCAACAGUACAACCUUCUUCCACUUCCAUCAAGUCUCUGUGGUUUUAGAAAGUGCAAAGGGAUUACUCCUUUCUCCUUAUUACCCAGAAGAAUGGCCCCAGAAAAUGUCUUCAUUUUGAUCAUUUGAGGCAAUUCUGCCCAUUUUUUGUUUGUGCUAUUAAUAAAUAUCUCAAGGAACCUUUUGCCAUUUUAUACAAACAGUUUGUGUUGUGCAGUGAGAGCAAAGGGCUUUUUAUAACUGGUUAUACUGCUGAUGACUUUGAGCAAAUAAAUUAACACAAUCAACCCAACUGACUUGUUUGACAGGAAUGCAGUACAAUGUUCCAGUGCAGGAGUUGACCCACAUGACUCCAUUCUCUAAAUUUGGGAAAUAGUCAGUGUUUUGAUGCUAAUAGACCUUAAGAAGGAGCAUUUUAUUUUUUCUGUAUGUCACAAGAAAUUUUCACAGGUUUGUUCUCUAUCAUCUAUUAAGAUAGAAGUCUCUUUAAAAAUAGGAUUAGUAGAAAAAUGAUCUGUAACAAUAUUUAAUCAGUGUAUGGGAUGUUACAGGAAAUUACUAGCUAAUUAUUUUCUAUUGCUAUGACCAAGUGGUAUGUCAGACUUGGAAUGUCAAUUUUAGCAUGUGUGUAGGUGUCUAAACAGAUGUAUAACAUUCAUGCUUUUGUCAAUAAGGAUCAGCAUAUGACAAAAUUGUCACAAGAUCUAUAUUUAACUGACUAAGCUUUAUUUACUUCACUCUAAAUUCUUCUCACAUAGGAGAAAAUCAAUUAUCACAAAGUCCAAAAAUAAAAGAGCAAACAAAUUUUGUUUUUAUUCAUUAGGAAAAGCUAGACCAGAAUAUGAUUUUUUUCUUAUUGUCACAUUUCUUCAUAGAUUAAAAAUAAAUAAGAUCAUAUAAUACAAGAAAAAUACGGUGAUAGUUUUUUUUUAAUUUAUCAGGUUUAGUGCAGAUUGUGAGAUCUUCAAAGGUAGAGAUUCCAUUUAAUUCAUUUUGUAACCUCUGCUUAAUCUAGAUACAGCAGAUAAACAAUUACCAGUGUGUUCUUGAUAACAUGUUAGUGCACUUCUGGCGUUGGAGGACCAACACUGCAACACUGAAUUAUGAUGUCCCAUUUACAUGUAGCAGCCAGAUGAAUGGAUCAUGUCUAAAUUUAGCUUGCUGGCAGCUUGGAUCUUUGAUUUAGGAUCUUUUCUCAUGUGACUAAGAAGCCUUCAGCCAUUCUGCUCUCAGCAGUUCCUGCCGCCAUGCCCAGUGCUCGCUGCCCCACUUCCUCACCCUGAUGGUGAUGGAAUCUUACUGCUCUGGAACUGGUGUGUACCAGCAUAUCUGUGAGAAUACAUAGGAAAUUAUGGGCAGCAAAGGAAUAUCCUGUCAAUCUCCUCCUUCCCCUCGCUGACUUCACACCUCCUCUUUGAGACCUGAAUCCCACUGGAGCUGGACUCCAGCAAGUGACACAUAUGUAUAUAAUGAAACUGAGGUUCAAAACUUGACUUUUUCUCAGUGGAAAAUGGAAGAUUAACAGACAGCUCCAUCUGAACCCAUGGAUCUUUCAGGUAGCCUCUCUGGUGAUGUGAGUAGCAGUCCAGUCAUCCUUGUUCCACAUCUAGUAUCCUCCUAUGAGUAGCCUCCCUGGUGAUGUGAGUAGCAGUCCAGUCAUCCUUGUUCCACAUCUAGUAUCCUCCUAUGAAGUGGUACACAUGUGGAGGCCAGAGAACAACUUGAUACAAGAGCUGUUUUCUUCCUUCUAAUGGUUCCUGGGAUCAAAUGCAGAUUGUCAGGCUCCGUGGCAGUUACCUUGGCCUGCUGAAGCAUCUCACCUGCUCUGAACGCUGUUAUGAAAUCUAAGCCCAUGGUGUCUUUAGGUGUGUACAUUUAAUGCCUCUAUUGAUCAAGUUCUGUUAUGCCUUGUUCUCUGAUCUAUUUGUCCAUUUAUAUUUGUUUCAUUAUCUUUUACUUUCUUUCCUAUUAUUGGAUUACAUUUUUAUGAUCCAUUUGAACUCCUUUGUUUUCAUAUCAGUAAUAAACAUUUUUGCACAUUUGCUAUUUUUGAAAUUGUUGUAUUAUUUUUUAUAAUUUAAUGUAUAGAAUCGGUACCUUUAGCUUAGAAAAACCUACGUGAAUUGGUAUUACAUCACUUCCUAUAGGGUAUAAAAACACUUUGACCACAUAUUUUAAAUGUUACCUACUUAGUAUUUUUGUUAGUGUUGUCCUAGACUGGUUACAGUUCUUAAAAUUCAUAGUACAUUGUGGUUUUCUUUUAAGCUAUCAUUUUCUCUUUCAGAAGCAUAUUAUAUAAAAAAAACAUUUUAUAUUUAGUCUUUUGUUGCUAUUUCUGUUUUAUAUUACCUUAUACGAGACUAUAUUUUUCUCUGAUAUCAUUUUCCUGAUUCCUACAGGAAUUCCACUAGUACUUCUUAUGCUGUAGCAUGGCAGGUGAUUAAUUCCUUCAACUUAGCUGAGAGCACAGCUGAUAUAUGAUAUCGCCAUAGGCAGAGCACUCGGUAAUAUAGACUAAUAUUUAACUUCUUCUAUGGGCAAUGUACAAUAAAGAAGUCAUUAAAAACUCAGUACCUGCACCAUUUCUAAAGGAAAAAAAGGUGAAAUGCGUUGAAUAUUUAACUCCUUUUCAAAUUAUUCCUUCAUAUUUAUGCAUGUGUUGAUAUGCAUAUAUAUUUGAAUGUAUGUGUGUACUCAUUUUUGAAUGUAUGUGCACAUAUAUAUUUGAGAGUAUAUGUUCAUGUGUAUAUGAACGUUACAAGGGGGCAUCAGAUCUCUUAGAGUUGGAGUUACAGGCCUCUGUGGGACUCCUGACUUAAGAUGUGGCUGUUGGUAUCUAAACGCAGUCUCAUGCUUGCAAGGCAUCUUUCUAACACACAACUGAAAAUUUAAUAGUCUGUGUUUUUAUUGUGAAUGAACUCUGGACAGGGGCAGUAUAAGAACACUUGACAAUAAUAUGUGAAAAAGGGCCCAAUGCUUAUCUUUAAUGAAUUAUCUCAGAGGCCCAUUAACUAUGUUUCUAGAUUCUCAAUUCAUUGAAAAAGUGUUCAUUUCAUCCCCCUGUGUUUUGUCUUUUUAUUUUUCUCUUUUAUGGUCUCAUUAGCAAUGAGAGAUAAUUGAACCUAUCUGCUCUCAAAAUAACAAGUACUUCCAAGUCUGUUGGAUUGUCAGGAUGGAUAAACCAAAAGAUUCAAUGGAAUGUAGCAUCUUCAAAAUGAGUAAAAAUCAAGGCUCGGCGAUAUUUUCUGCUACAAAAAUGAAUAUAUUAUCAUUACUCACUUACACUUUUAAAAUACCAUCUCAAAUUUCCAGAUGAUAAUUGUGAUGUUCCUACUCAAGCUGGUAAUAAUGAGUCUAUAAAAUGGAGCCUUUUGGCUCAGAUAUGUACUUAAGGGCUGAAUUAUAUCAUAAUCACACCAUAAGGAAGUCUCAUAAGUAGCACUCAUGGGACAGUCAACUGAACUUUCAUGUUAAAACUGUAAGGAUGCUGAAUAAUUAUACCAUGUAUUUAGACAGCAUUGUCAGUACUCAUGUAUGCAAAUCCAUUAGAAGGCAUCAAGUAUGUCUGUUCUAUAGCUUUUACUCAUGGGAUUAUUGUGGUACUAUUUUUCCCCCACUAACCUUCCCUAUAAGUGAUCAGUGUUCUCUCUUGUAUGAAGAUUUAAAAUGUCAUUUUACGUCUCAUAGCUUUUGUAAGCUUUCCAUAUAUCUAGCCACUCAACUUAUCUUUCAUUUAAAUUCACACAAGUCUUUUGGUAUGUUUUCUCUCUCUCGGCCACUUACUUCAUUCUAUAUAAUUGUGUAUUUUAUGUUUCAUUAGAGUUAGAGUUAAUCUCAAGGUCUAUGUUUCAUUAUAUUUAAAGAGUGGAUUCCACCAGAUUCAGCAAUGUAUAUUACCUGAGAAGAAUACUUUACUAUACAGACUAUCUGAGAAUACUCCUGUUCUAGUUAUUUUUAUUGCUUUUACUCGGCAGUAAUUAUAUACUUAAUAUGUAUUAUACCUUUCAUUUUUCAUGUAAGUAUAUGUUAGGUACAAAUAUUAUGCCCAAUUAUAAAUAAAUUAAAGUGUAUAUAACCAUAAAUUUUCUAGGUUUACUAGAUUUAAGUUUAGUGCACCUUGGCAAUAUACCAUUAUUACUUUUGGCCAGACUACCCAAAUCAAUAUAUAUGGAACACUUUUUCUACAUGUGUGAUUGGUAGUAGAUAUUUUUAAGAUACAUCAAAAAAACAAAUGUCAGCUGAUGGGAAGAGAGUACAGAGACAUUUAAAUAUGAAGAUAAAGGUUACCAAAAUAGAAAUCCAUUCCCUAGUAUACUAUGCCCGAAUCCUCCACCCCUUGCAUAAGAAUCGUUGCUUCUGGAUCAAUGCACAAUCAUUUAGUGGGUCUGUGAGUCUGACAGUCUGAGAACUAAACCUGACACACAUGAAUGCUUAAGAUGUGUGUCCCUGGGAGUCAGCUUUGUGUAUGCCAAUGAAAUGAGAGCACCAGCACUGGGCUAUCGAAACAUGCUCAAAAGUCGCCAGGAAACUGGUAAACUUGUUUCUACUACAAUAACAGAACCCAAGGCUAACUCCAAUGUACUCUGAUCUUGGACCACAAUUCUAGUGACUUUCCAGACACUGACCCCACCUGUGGGGUCUGGUAGGCAGCCAGAUUGUGCUGCAUUGGGUUAAAAUGGAACAUUUAUUUGAAUGGUCAUAACAACCUUACCUUUUGGCUUGUUAUUUUGUGCACCUGCUUUUUGGCAGCCCUCAGGAAUUUGUUAAUGAUGGCUAUUUACCACCUAAAUGCCUUAGCUUUAAAACAUUUUGUGGAACAUUUAGUCAUCUUUAUAAUGAAGUCCUCUAAAGGGUCAAGCUGCCAUGGUGCUGAUUUUUAAAAGGCAAAACCGAAAGGUUUUAGGUUUGGUGACUUACAGCAUACCCUAGAAUACUUACUAUAUGAAGUCCUUCAAUUAUAAAUAAUCCUUUUGGUGUCAGUUAUGAAAGCAGAUUUGCUUGAUGAAAGCCAGUGCUGGGAAGAAAACAGCUUGCAGAGUCAUCCUUCAAGGUUAUGAGGGAUUGAGCCUAGAAUCAUCUGUGGAUGCUGAAAGCUGCUGGAGUUCAAGUCCUUUACAGAAAAGGCUCAAGCAUUUGCCUAUAAUUCUUAUUACCAUCCCCCAGAACACUUAAAAUUCUGUAUAUAUUGCUUGCAACACCCAAUAAUAUGUCAAUUUUAAAUAUUUUUAUUGCUAUAUUUAGGAAACAAUGAUGUGCUGUUUUGUGACUUUUCA